rnacentral:rRNA from 1 species
AUGAUGAAGCCCGGCUCCCGCAAGCGCCGCGCCUCGCCGCCUGCGCCGUCGGCCCCCGUCACGCUGCCGCCGCCGGGCUUCGUGGCGGACAGGGAGGAGGCGGCGGCCCGCGUGGAGCGGCUUCUCCAGUACCAGUUCAACAACCGCUCCCUGCUCGAGGAGGCGCUCACCCACCAGUCCUUCGCCGCCGCCUCGUACCAGAGGCUCGAGUUCGUCGGGGACGCGGCGCUUGGCCUCGCCUUCUCCAACUUCCUCUACCUCACCAACCCCACCGUCGGCCCCGGCGCGCUCUCCACGCUCCGGGCUGCCAACAUCUCCACCGAGAAGCUGGCGCGCGUCGCCGUGCGCCACGACCUCUACCCGCUGCUCCGACGCAACUGCCCUCGCCUCGAUCUGUUGGUAGGACAGUUUAUCCAGUCAGUGAAACAAGAGUUAGAGGAUGACCUUGGCACUACGCCCUAUGGUGGCAGUGUAUUUAAGGCUCCCAAGGUGCUUGCUGAUAUGGUUGAGGCCAUUGCUGCUGCUGUCUAUGUGGAUUGCAACUUUAAUCUUGAGAAGCUCUGGAAGGUAACAAGGUUCCUCUUUGAGCCCAUUGUCACGGCAGAAACAAUAGAUGAGCAACCUGUGUCUAUGUUGCAUGAACUGUGCCAGAAACAUGGGAAAGAUGUAAAAUUCAAGACUUGGCAGAAGGGUGGAACAACGGUUGUAAAUGUAUUUGUUGGUGGGGCACUUGUUGGGAUGGGGUCCUCAGAGCAGAUGGUAAUCGCUAAGCUCAAUGCCACACGGGAUGCAUUAAGCAAGCUUCUUGGUGGAGGCAAUCAGCAAGUCUUGACAACUGGAGUUGGCCAUGGAUUGGGGGUUGAGGUUGGAGAGCUUAGGGAAUGCAAGCAGAAGCUUAUUGAGCAGUGCAGCAGGAAGCAUUGGCCAAAACCCAUCUUUAAGUUAGAGAAGGAAGAUGGCCCGGCACAUGAUAGGACAUUUGUUUACUCCGUUCAGGUAGAAGCCCAAGGUGGUAUUUGGGUAACUUUAAGUGAUAAGAUGUCAAGGGUAAAGGAUGCGGAGAAUUCUUGCGCGCAGAAGAUGUUGGAACAUCUAUUGAAAUUGGAUCCAUGCACUUGA